AGUGAACGCUGGCGGUAGGCCUAACACAUGCAAGUCGAACGGCAGCACGGGAGAGCUUGCUCUCUGGGUGGCGAGUGGCGGACGGGUGAGGAAUACAUCGGAAUCUACUCUGUCGUGGGGGAUAACGUAGGGAAACUUACGCUAAUACCGCAUACGACCUACGGGUGAAAGCAGGGGAUCUUCGGACCUUGCGCGAUUGAAUGAGCCGAUGUGGGAUUAGCUAGUUGGGGGGGUAAAGGCCCACCAAGGCGACGAUCCGUAGCUGGUCUGAGAGGAUGAUCAGCCACACUGGAACUGAGACACGGUCCAGACUCCUACGGGAGGCAGCAGUGGGGAAUAUUGGACAAUGGGCGCAAGCCUGAUCCAGCCAUACCGCGUGGGUGAAGAAGGCCUUCGGGUUGUAAAGCCCUUUUGUUGGGAAAGAAAUCCAGCUGGCUAAUACCCGGUUGGGAUGACGGUACCCAAAGAAUAAGCACCGGCUAACUUCGUGCCAGCAGCCGCCGUAA
rnacentral:rRNA from 1 species